rnacentral:rRNA from 1 species
AGAGUUUGAUUAUGGCUCAGGAUGAACGCUAGCUACAGGCUUAACACAUGCAAGUCGAGGGGCAGCAUGAUCGAAGCUUGCUUUGAUUGAUGGCGACCGGCGCACGGGUGAGUAACGCGUAUCCAACCUUCCCUAUAGUAGAGGAUAGCCCGGCGAAAGUCGGAUUAAUACUCUAUGUUUUCCGAAGCAGACAUCUAAUUUGGAACAAAGGUUCACCGCUAUAGGAUGGGGAUGCGUCUGAUUAGGUAGUCGGCGGGGUAACGGCCCACCGAGCCAACGAUCAGUAGGGGUUCUGAGAGGAAGGUCCCCCACAUUGGAACUGAGACACGGUCCAAACUCCUACGGGAGGCAGCAGUGAGGAAUAUUGGUCAAUGGGCGAGAGCCUGAACCAGCCAAGUAAGCGUGCAGGAUGACGGCCCUAUGGGUUGUAAACUGCUUUUAUACGGGGAUAAAGUGAGGGACGUGUCCCUUUUUGUAGGUACCGUAUGAAUAAGGACCGGCUAAUUCCGUGCCAGCAGCAGC